UAGGGAAUCUUCGGCAAUGGACGAAAGUCUGACCGAGCAACGCCGCGUGAGUGAAGAAGGUUUUCGGAUCGUAAAACUCUGUUGCUAGAGAAGAACAAGGACGUUAGUAACUGAACGUCCCCUGACGGUAUCUAACCAGAAAGCCACGGCUAACUACGUGCCAGCAGCCGCGGUAAUACGUAGGUGGCAAGCGUUGUCCGGAUUUAUUGGGCGUAAAGCGAGCGCAGGCGGUUUCUUAAGUCUGAUGUGAAAGCCCCCGGCUCAACCGGGGAGGGUCAUUGGAAACUGGGAGACUUGAGUGCAGAAGAGGAGAGUGGAAUUCCAUGUGUAGCGGUGAAAUGCGUAGAUAUAUGGAGGAACACCAGUGGCGAAGGCGGCUCUCUGGUCUGUAACUGACGCUGAGGCUCGAAAGCGUGGGGAGCAAACAGG
rnacentral:rRNA from 1 species